rnacentral:rRNA from 1 species
GUUCUCCCCGAAAUAGGUUUAGGCCUAGCCUUGAGAUUAGCUACGUGGAGGUAGAGCACUGAAUAUGUAAUGGCCCCGUCUAGGGGUACUGAAUGUAAUCAAACUCCGAAUGCCACGCAAGUAUUCUCAGGAGUCAGUGUAUGGGUGAUAACGUCCAUGCGCGAAAGGAAAACAAUCCAGACCGCCAGUUAAGGUCCCAAAAUUUAUGCUAAGUGGGAAAGGAUGUGGAGUUGUCAAAACAGCUAGGAGGUUGGCUUAGAAGCAGCCACCCUUUAAAGAGUGCGUAAUAGCUCACUAGUCGAGUGACACUGCGCCGAAGAUGUACCGGGGCUAAGCAUAAUACCGAAACUGCGGAUUUGUAGCAAUACAGAUGGUAGGGGAGCGUUCUAAGGGCGAUGAAGGUGGACCGUGAGGACUGCUGGAGCGCUUAGAAGUGAGAAUGCCGGUGUGAGUAGCGCAAGCUGGGUGAGAAUCCCAGCCACCGUUUGCCUAAGGGUUCCUGGGGAAGGUUCGUCCUCCCAGGGUUAGUCGGGUCCUAAGACGAGGCCGAAAGGCGUAGCCGAUGGACAACAGGUUGAUAUUCCUGUACUACCUAUGUAACUGAUGGAAUGACGAAGAAGGCUAAAAGGAGCCGGUUAUUGGAUUCCGGUCUAAGUACAAAGGCUUAUAAAUUGGGAAAUCCGUUUAUAGUUUAAGCUGAAGUAUGAUGGCGUGAUGUAGAAAUACAUUGGAAGUCUUUUGACGCCAAGCUUCCGAGAAAAGUUUCUAGGGUUAAUUACAUAGGUACCCGUACCGAGAACCGACACAGGUGGGCAAGGAGAGUAUCCUAAGGUGAGCGAGAGAACUAUGGUUAAGGAACUCGGCAAAAUGACCCCGUAACUUAGGGAUAAGGGGUGGUCUGGCGACAGACCCGCAGUAAAGAGGCCCAGGCGACUGUUUACCAAAAACACAGCUCUCUGCUAAGUCGUAAGACGAUGUAUAGGGGGUGACACCUGCCCAGUGCUGGAAGGUUAAGAGGAUGGCUUAGAAAUGACGCAAGUCGAUAUGUUUCGAAGGUCAGAAUUGAAGCCCCAGUGAACGGCGGCCGUAACUAUAACGGUCCUAAGGUAGCGAAAUUCCUUGUCAGGUAAGUUCUGACCCGCACGAAAGGUGUAACGAUCUGGGUGCUGUCUCGACCAUAGACUCGGUGAAAUCAUAAUACCUGUGAAAAUGCAGGUUACCCGCGACAGGACGGAAAGACCCCGUGGAGCUUUACUGUAGCUUGAUAUUGAAAUUCGGUAUGUUAUGUAGAGGAUAGGUGGGAGACUUUGAAGUGAGGACGCUAGUUCUCAUGGAGUCAACCUUGGAAUACCACCCUUAAUGUAUUGGAUUUCUAACCUAGGACCGUGAUCCGGUUCAGGGACAGUGUCUGGUGGGCAGUUUGACUGGGGCGGUCGCCUCCCAAAAAGUAACGGAGGCGCCCAAUGGUUCCCUCAGAAUGGUUGGAAAUCAUUCGCAGAGCGUAAAGGUAUAAGGGAGCUUGACUGCAAGACUUACAAGUCGAGCAGAUACGAAAGUAGGGCUUAGUGAUCAGGCGAUUCAGUAUGGAAUGGUCGUCGCUUAACGGAUAAAAGUUACCCCGGGGAUAACAGGCUGAUACCACCCAAUAGUUCACAUAGACGGUGGUGUUUGGCACCUCGAUGUCGGCUCGUCACAUCCUGGAGGUGUAGUCGCUUCCAAGGGUUGGGCUGUUCGCCCAUUAAAGUGGCACGCGAGCUGGGUUCAGAACGUCGUGAGACAGUUCGGUCCCUAUCCGUCGUGGGCGUAGGAAAAUUGAGGAGAGCUAUCCUUAGUACGAGAGGACCGGGAUGGACCUACCUCUGGUGUAUCUGUUGUCACGCCAGUGGCAGUGCAGAGUAGCUAUGUAGGGAAUGGAUAACCGCUGAAAGCAUCUAAGCGGGAAGCCAACUUCAAGAUGAGUUUUCCCAUUUGU